rnacentral:sRNA from 1 species
CUCUGGCAGCGCGGACGAGUUGGCCGGGCGACCGCGGCAUCGGGAACGGGCACAUUUGUGCCGCCGCCCGGAGUCGA